CCUUUCGGCUCUCAGGGUCCGUGACCGGAAGUGGGAAGUACAAUAGGCCCAAGCACCGGAAGUGUUUCUGAACAAGCAACAGGAUGGAGAAACCCUGGAGAGAGGAGUCAGGAGUUCCACCUGCUCUGUCAGCCAGCGACUGGUAAUGACCUUGGGCAAGCCUGCACCUCACUUCAUUUGUCCCUAAAGGAGAAAUAAAAAUACGCAUCUACGUUCUUCUCGGGUCUCUGCUCCGUUGCUGAAGGUAAAGGUCCUGAGAAAAACCAGCAUCGACCGCAGCUGUCCUCAGGGAUACGUGUACACUCGAGAUAAGUGGUAAAUAACACCGAGCAAAGAAGAAAGCCAGGGAGGAGGCUGACAGCAGGGGUGAUGGCUCGUGUUUCCUGCAGGGAGGGAAGCCACAUAUCCCAGGAGGCCGGAGCCCAGCUCUCCGGUGGCUCCUUCCACCCAUUUUGGGUGGGAUUUCGUAAGAACCCGGCCCCUGUUUCUCACAUCUCUGUCCCUAGCUCCUGGGCACGCUGAGUGAAUGGACAGGCUCUGACUGCACAGCCCUUCUGAGACGGUGCUGCCGGGCUCUGGGGGUGUGGGGCUCCUGCGAAGGUCCUGGUGCAGCCGUCAGGAUAUUCUGCUCCCCAUCAGAAGCCCACCAGGUCAGCGCUGCAAGGAAGGGAGCUCAGCAAACUCUGAAAAGAUAUGGAGGAAACUGAACUGCACAUUGCUGAGUGACAGUCUGAAAAGCCUGCAUACUGGAUCAUUCCAACUAGAGGACAUUUCUGGAAAAGGCGAAACUACAGAGGAAAUAAAAAGAUAGGGGGUGGCCAGGGCUUGGGCAGGAGGGACGGAUGGAUAGGUGGUACACAGAGGGCUUUUAGGGCAGUGACACUGCUGUAACGAUGGGUGGUGGUGUAACGAUGGAUACAUGUCAUUCUACGUUUGUCCACACCCAUAGACUACAACACCGAGAGUGAAUUCUGAUGGACUUUAGUUAAUAGUGGUGUAUCCACACUGGCUCGUCAGUUGCAACAAAUGUGCCACUAAGGCGAGAGGUUAAUUACAGCUUAAUAACAGGCGAGGGGCGCCUGGGUGGCUCAGUCCAGUUAAGUUUCUGACUCUUUGACUUCAGCUCAGGUCAUGAGCGUAAGGUUUGUGAGCUCGCGCCCCUGCACUGUCAGCACGGAGCCUGUUUGGGAUUCUCUCUCUCCCUCUCUCUCCCCCUCUCCCCCAUGUGUGCUCUCUCUCUCUCUCUCUUAAAAUAAAUAAAUAAACUUAAAAAAAGAGAGAGAGGUUAAUAACAGGGGAAAUUUCCAGGGCAGGGGUGGGGUAUGGUGAGAAUUUGUAGCUUCCACUGAAUUUUGUCUUAAACCUAACUAAAACUGCUCUAAAGGGGAAAGUCCAUCAAUUUAAAUUUAAAAAAGGGUCACGGAGGCAGAAGCCACAGAAAUAGGAAGAAGGGAGAGGUGAGCUAGGGGAGGCUUCCCUGGGCACCUGUGAUGUUUAUUUUGUAAUGAGCUGCCAGAGGGCAUCCGCUGAAACCAUGGUUACCGGAGAAACUUCCUCUCUUUCCACGACCGGCCUCCUCCCGACCUCGCUCUGAGCAUUUAGUGCAGGUUACCUCCCUGUCAGUGACACGCAGCCCUGAGUCAGGCCCCCAUUCCUCAUCAGAUAAUUCCCUGUUUUAUGUAAUGGAUGGAUGUCAGCAACAUCUGAAAAGGCCCAUCGCCUUUUCAAACAUAUGAAGAGAAUGUUCUCGGGUGAAUCCUGGGGAGGGAAGAGGUACCCCCAUUUCAGAGCAGAAAGUGUUCUUUGAGACCGUGUGGUUGGAGGCCCCCAGAGAGGUUCAGCUACCUGGCCAAGGGCACACAGCCAAGCAUGGGCAGAACUAGGAUUCACUUCAGGACUCCCGACCUUCUGUCACGUCCGGCGUCCUUCCGCCGGGCCAGACUGCUAAACGGUCAUAGGAGGUGGUGAGGUCAUGGGGGCGGUGAGUGGAGUGGGGCACUUUCAGGAGGCCUGAGUCCCAGUCCCACGUCUAUGCUACCUUAUUAAGUCUCACACCCACCCGUGCGUUGGUCCACUCUUCUGUAAACCUCUCCCUCCACCAGCCCAGAUGGAUUUCGUCUCCAACAUGGCAACACUGGUAAUAUUCUGAUUCUCACCAGCAGUUACGAGGCUGGAGGCGUUUCAUAAAACAGAAAGUGUCCCGUGCCCAUCGGACUCCAGAGGCGGGUCCUUUAUUCUUCCCAGAGAGGGACAAGGGAGUCGUCGCUUAGUUAUUCCCGGCUCCGUGGGCCUGGGGUGGGGCCCAUGCUGCCGGCCACCCUCCAAGCGGCAGGUCGAGAUCCUUCCGGUGGUUUUCUCUUUCCUACGAGAGAAGGAUGCUCGGGGCCGGGCCCAGCCUGGCCGCCUUCUCGGGGUCCGGCUCCUGCCACAGAAGCUGCAAGCCCUCGGCCUCCUCAGCUCCUGGGGAUCAGUGGCCGGGGCGUUCAGAGCUGGGCGGCAACAAGGGCCUGCGGAGUAUUCUCUGGACCUUUGCUUGUUUGGGCUCCUGUUCAAUCAGACAAGGAGCUGUCAGUCUCUCCCUCCUCCCCUGCCCCCCCCCCCCCCCCGCCCCACAUGUCUGACUCAGGACAGUCGGCCCCUUAGAGGCCCAGCCUCACCAGACACUUCAAAGGCUUUCCCACCAAGGGGCUGGGGCGUCCCGCGAAGAAGCCCUCUCAGCGCUCAAGGGUCGGCUUCAAAGGCAGAGUGUAACCGGGGGGCCGGCCCCCCUUGUGAGAGGCCUUAUCACUUUGGGGGUGGCUCCCCUCAGGAAGGGCCACCUCAUCACAGAGGGGAGGGAUGUCCCCUUUGCAGGAAGGGCCUUGUUGCCCUCCCUCCGCGGCCCUCCCCCACCCGUCCUGGGCCGCUCCUGGCCCCCCUCGUGUCAUCUUGGCUCCAGGAAAAUGCAGGUGAGGUGGAGGACGGGAGAGGUAGGGCACCGGCCUGACUCCCCCGUGCGUGGUCACCCCGGGUCUACUUGCCUUUGCCCCCCGAGACCACCAACAGAGGCGCCCACGUUCUCUGAAGACUGGUGGCGCAGGAGUGUCUCACAGCCAACAUAGUUUACAGUCUCCACAGGCGGGCUGGGGACCCGGCUUGCCGUGAGGACACUUGGGGCAUAGGGGGUUCAGGUCGCCCGCCCCCCCCCCCCCGCCGUGCUGGGCGGGGCAACUGGCCCUGUGCAGGGCCCUUCGGCAUGCUGGGCAAAGAGGCCCACAGAAUGUCCUCCCCAGUCGGGUGACAGUCAAGUGCACACCUCCGCCCCAGUUCGGAGCGCCCCCUGGCCUCCAAGAGGCUCCAUGGUGGUGGAGACGCCUCUCCAGCCCAGUCAGCCGUGGAGACCCGCCCUCUGGGGCUACACACAUGGGAUCCUGGGACGCAGCCUGGUCUCCUUCCUGUGGCUCUCCCGUGUGGCGGCCUGUCCCCCCAGGGCACCAAGGCAGGGUCACUGUGCUUCCUCCUGUCUUGCCCCCUCCUCCUCUGGUUCCCAGACCCCCGACGCACACAGAUGCACGCACACACCCUCUCUGGCACUCACACUUAUGUGCACUCAUUCACCCCACACUCACACUAACGCAUGCAUGCACGGAUGCACGUUCACCUGCCCACACACACACAUACGCGCCCCACACCUUUACACACUCAUUUACAGACACUCACUUCUUGACACAUACACUCUAAGCACACACACCCAAAGCCCAGGUUUUUGACACAGGCCCUCUGAGGGGAGGCCCCCACCGUCUUAUGCGGGCUUCCGGCCCCCUCAGCGUCCUGGGAAGGGAGGCAGGAGGGCACCUCUGUGCUCUGGGGGACAGAGAGGCCAGGGAGGGCGCGCGGCAGGGAGAUGCCCGUGUCCCCUCGAACCAGCCCGGACGGGAGCAUGCGUCCGUGGGGCUAGGGACUCAGCUAGUCACGCCAGACACCCCAGACGGUUUUUGACCCGGUCCCCUCCCCCUCACCAUGUUGAUAAGAAAGGUAAUUCAGGCUCACAGAGAAAAUUUAGAGCGUACAGAAAAGAGAAAGGAAAGGAAGUAAACCUCACGCAGUCUCACCGCUUUCCGAGGGAGAACCGUCGUGAACAUUGCCGCGUUUACCUACCCCACCGUCGUGGUUAGUUUUAUGCCUAGCUGGGCCCUGGGCAUCAGUCAUGCCUUUUCCUUUCAUUAUUCCGACGCUUGACCGUCUCGGGGCCAUGGGGGCCCUGGGGUGACUGCCUGGGCCAAGCGUGGCCGAUUUCUAGCGAGAGCACAAGACUCACCUGCGCUCAGGCCUUCUGAAUGCAAGCCAGCCAAUCGAGAGCCCACGCCCUCAGCGCCCCUUUCGGACCCUCACCAUCCUUUGCCCUAGUCACCACGGAGCCAGGUGUCAGGCCAGCAGAGGCAGCCCCGUGCCCCGGCCAAGAGUCAAGUCUGCCCCGCCAAUCCCAAGUCUGUCUCCCCACCUCACCCAUUCCAUCCUGUGGAAACCACAGUAGAGACUCUCGUCCGUGCUCUCCCCUCGGUCUCUCGGUCUCUCUGCCUCCUGACGAACCCUGGUGCUUCCCCACCUGCCCCCUCCAUGCACCCUUCUCUCGGGGAGGGGCCCCCCUCUUGUGAUGUGUGAGUAUAACCGCCAUCUUUUCAAUGGCAGUCAUCUCCUAAUCUAUUAGCCUCCCCAUCCCUGAGUCAUAAUAGAACCCAUGCUUUUAAAACACAUUGCUACAGUCUAAAUAUUUGUGUCCCCCCCCACACACACAAAUUCAUAUGUUGAAAUCCUAAACCCCCAAAGUGAUGGUAUUAGAAGGUGGGUCCUUUGGGGAAGGCGAUUAGGUCAUGAGGGUAGAGCCCCCAAGAAUGGGAUUAGUGCCCUUAUAAAUGAGGUCCCAGAGAAUCUGCUCACCCUUCCUGUCUUCUGAAGACACAGCGAGAGGUCAGCAGUGUGCAACCUGGAAGAGGGGUACUCACCAGAUCCCGGCUGUGCUGGCACCCUGACCUUGGGCUGCCCAGCCUCCAGAGCUGGGAGACAUAUACGUUGUUGUUUAUAAACCACCUGGUCUGGGUAUUUUAUAGUAGCAGCUCAAUGAACCAGGAUUACGAUGUCCCCAGCUAUUCAGUCAGAUACUAAUCUACGUGUCGCCAUGGACUGUGU